ACAAUACCUCUUUCAAACACCUGACCUCCACCCCUACCUCAGUCAAGAUGACCCGAGCCUUUUUCUCCACUCUUUAUGCUUCGAAGGCUCUCUCCUCCAUCGCAUCUGUCUUCUUUUGGACCUCAGUCAUUUCCAAUCUCACCACCUUAGUAGCAUUCAAAAAGUGCUCCAGGUGGUAGGUGAGUUGAAACAAAAGGAAAAAAAAUAAGGGUUAGCUGACCCGAUCUGGAUAAUCAAAAUAAAAAUAUAAAUACAGAGGCCAAUAUUACUCACCUAGAUGGAGUCAUAGGCAUAAUUCGAUGAGAACUAGAGCCCGACUCCUCCAAUUUCUUUGUGUCAGCUGGAAGAAGGAUCUUAUGAACGAGAU
rnacentral:lncRNA from 1 species